rnacentral:rRNA from 1 species
UACGUAGGGGGCAAGCGUUGUCCGGAAUUACUGGGCGUAAAGGGCUCGUAGGCGGCCAACUAAGUCGGAUGUGAAAUCCCCAGGCUCAACCUGGGAACUGCAUCCGAUACUGGAUGGCUUGAAUUCGGGAGAGGGAUGCAGAAUUCCAGGUGUAGCGGUGAAAUGCGUAGAUAUCUGGAGGAAUACCGGUGGCGAAGGCGGCAUCCUGGACCGACAUUGACGCUGAGGAGCGAAAGCCAGGGGAGCAAACGGG